AGGGGUGUGUCCAUUUGCCUAACCUAUAAAAAGAUUAACUGGAAAGAUAGAAUGACAGUAGAGCAAACCCUUGGAAGAGACAAGGUCAAGAAUCACUUCGACUGAACCUCUAGCCGACGACCAUGAAGAAGUGGCAAGUAUUUGCAGUCCUCAUGACGGCCCUUCUCCUCGUGCAGAUGUUUGCUGUUACAGAAGGGUUUGCGCGUCGUCGGCGGAGGGCUGUUCAAAUCUCGGAUAAUGCUGAUGGUGGCAAAGAAAAGUCUCAGAAUGAUGCCCGAUAUUUAGAGCGAUUAUUGGAGGAGGAGGAGGACCUUGCGGAAUUCGAGUAAAAUACCUUCAUGUGGAGUCACAGGAUUAGCUAGCCAAUGACACAGAAUAUUAGUUAAAGUAUGAAGUCUCUAGUAAAACGGAUUAAUGCACGGCUUGAACUGUAAUAAUUUACAUUUGCACGUGACACAAAUAAGGAACAUCAAACCGAUAGAAAAUUGCCCACAAUGUAUGCAGUGACAUGCUGGUAUUUGCAAACUAAUUCGAGUUGAGAAGGCUAUUUGACUGAUAUCAACGUCCACCAUAUAGGUUUAGCUAUUCUGUUCUAGAGACCACCUGAACGAUGACAUUAACUUUACUACAUAAAGAAUACUCGCUGUACACGCAGUACAGAAAAGUGUACGGAAUUAACCGGAGACAUAUCUGUCAGUGUGAAAAUCAAGUGAUGAUCAAUCUUUGGCCCUCUUAGAGGGUAAGUUAAAACCCUACUGCUAUACUAGACUUUUUAUUAAAAAUUCAAAAAAUAAAUAUUCUUAAAAAC